rnacentral:rRNA from 1 species
GAUGAACGCUGGCGGCGUGCUUAACACAUGCAAGUCGAACGGUGAAGCUCCAGCUUGCUGGAGUGGAUCAGUGGCGAACGGGUGAGUAACACGUGAGCAACCUGCCCCUGACUCUGGGAUAACAGCCGGAAACGGCUGCUAAUACCGGAUAUGCACCAUGAACGCAUGUUCUGCGGUGGUAAAGAUCUUUCGGUUGGGGAUGGGCUCGCGGCCUAUCAGCUUGUUGGUGAGGUAAUGGCUCACCAAGGCGUCGACGGGUAGCCGGCCUGCGAGGGUGACCGGCCACACUGGGACUGAGACACGGCCCAGACUCCUACGGGAGGCAGCAGUGGGGAAUAUUGCACAAUGGGCGAAAGCCUGAUGCAGCAACGCCGCGUGAGGGAUGACGGCCUUCGGGUUGUAAACCUCUUUUAGCAGGGAAGAAGCGAGAGUGACGGUACCUGAAGAAAAAGCGCCGGCUAACUACGUG